GCCCGAUGUUGGGCCGGUUUCCGCUGCCCCGCGACGUUGUGAGAAAUCCACUGAAACCUUAUCAUUUAGAGGAAGGAGAAGUUCGUAAACAAGGUUUUCCGUUAGGAUGAACCGUGCGGAAGGAUCAUUG
rnacentral:rRNA from 1 species